CUAAUAUUUAUUAACCCUCUUUCUCUCACUGCUGUUGAUCAUCCCCUCUCUGUCCUCGAUCCGCUUCUCUCAUGGGGCCAUAGACGCACACUGCGACACUGGUCUGUGGUCUCAACUUCACCCGCCUCCGUCUCCAUGGACGGAUCGAAGGAAACGUCAAUGAGCUCUGUGCUCAACUCGAGAAAUCUAGGCCGAUAAAAGUUGAAUCUGGAAAUUCCAACAAGAAGAAGAGAAGAUCUGAUUACGAUUCGCCCCAUGCUGCUCCUGUACGAAGAAGGUACAUUGAUAUGAACGAUGAUACUGACGGAGGAGAAGACCGGAUUGGGGUGUUCAGGAGAAAGCUAUCUGAUGAUUUUGAUAGAAUCGUUGGAGAGAUGACAACCAAAGCCAAUAAGAAAUCAAUUAAAUCUGGUUUACUACUAACAUCUAAUUUUUGAACUUUUUGUUUAUUCAGAUUUAUAGCUCCAUGAGAUUUUCUACGAACAUAGAAAGUGAACAGAAACACAAGAUUUGGGAUCAGUGGAGAAUCUUCAGAUCUUUGUAAGCUAUUAUUGAAUGGUGGGGUUUCUGUGUAUAUUGUAAUGACCAAAUAAAUCUUUUACGUAAUAUAAAAGUCAACUAUUCCUAGGAUCAGUGUUGUUUUCUGCCGAGUAGUAAACCUGAAGAUAACUAUUCCUACUCAUUUUUUCAUGUAUUUCAUAGCUGAAGCGAGAGAAGAGAUGAGCAGCUGAUUAUAAAAAGGUUAUUACUUGCAGGAAAGAUGUGCUGCAGUGGACACUGUUUCUCUUGUGGCUCGAAUACUGCAUAUCAAAGGCUCAUCUUCAAUCCAUGCUUAUGUCAAGAAAUGGCUCUUUGGUUGAAGACUUCUUUGGUCAACUGGUUGGUUCCGUACCUGAUCUGACAGAGCACUUACACAUGACAACUGCGAUGAUCCUGCGGCAUGUUAAUGGGUAAAUUGCCAAUCUACUUAAGAGAGUUAUUAGAUGUCUGUGACAAAAAAAAAAUGUUAUUAGAUGGAUUCAAUCUCUAUCCUCCCUUUUGUGCCUUUUAUUCUUAUUCUUACUGGCCUCUGGAUUUAAAAAAAAACUGUUAUAUAACUUUUUAACUCAAUCGGUAUGUUAAAGUCAAGCCUUGGUUUUGUAUGAUAUAUGUUCUCAUUGGAGUAUGUCGACCGGAUUGCUAACUCUAAAUGGGAAGUCAAGGAGCUUGGAGUGGAGCAUAAUGGGUUUGUUACUUCCUUCUGUUACUCCAUUUGCUCUUCCAAAUUUGUACCUGCAACUUUAAUUAAAUAGUGAAAUACUCAACUAUAUUUGAUGUUCAUAGUCUUACAAAAGUAUUAUUUUAGAGUUCUCGUGUAGUAUAAAGUUAUCAUUGGAGCCUACUUAUUAUCUGAGUUAAGAUUUAGAUAUUCAGCACACGGUAUUGAUGCUCUUAAAACAGAUUCUGAUCAUUCAUGGCUUCACUGCCAUCUUAUAUGUACUAAACUAUUUGAACAAACAUGUAUGUUGAUUUGAUCCUUGGGGAAUUCAAACACUACAAACACAAGGCUUGCUCACGGAGGCAUUCCACAGGAGGUAAAUGUCUCUCUGACCUCAUCAUUAAUUCUAGGAGUUGAUUACAUUUUCUUCUCAAACUCUUAACUCUUUUUCGUAUAUAGGUUCAAAACCUCCUGCUGGAAUAUGGAAUUGAAAUAUUCGCGGAGACGCUGGUGGAAGGUCUAUCUAGGAUAAAAAUAUGCACCGAUGAAGGACGAGCUCUCAUGUCUUUAGAUAUUCAGGUACAUUUCCUCUUUGUUUGCUUUUUUAUCCAGUGUAGUUUCUUCUACACGACAUCAAGAAUGGACACGAAAGAAUGAAAGUAUCAGUUAACAUUGACAGACAUUCUGAUAUAGAAAAUAUUAAAUACACAGCGCAUCUAGAAAGGUGGUCAUGAUAGGACAAACCUUUAUUCUUUGCUGAUGAGAUAAAAGUAAAACACAAACAAUUGAUAAAUUGCAUGACAUGUCAUUUAAACAUGCGUCUGCGUUAUAGCUAUAUUGUGCAUAGGAAUGAUUUUGGUUGACAAUAUCUAUCGUUUUGUAGGUUCUAAUAAACGGGCUACAACACUUUCUUCAACAAAUGUGAAACCCGAUUCGUAAUGAGUGAUAUUUAAUAAAUAAAUUAUUAAAUUAUUUUGUAGUUGAUAACUCUAAUUUUUACUUUUAAUCAGUUUUUAUUUUUCAAAUAAUAUGAAUGAUAUUGAAGAAUGAAACUAAAAUGGUUUUACUUAGAAUGUAUUUUUUUUUCUUUGAACCAUCUUAUACUAAGCUAAAUGUUUUCUUCAAGCUUUAGAAUCCCUUGGUUAACUCAAUCACCUCAACAUUUAGCAUCACUAUUGCUUCAACAAACUUACAUUCAUUGGUGUUCAUAGUCAUUUUUUUGGACAAGUGAUUUAGAUAGUACCUAAAUACAUAUGACAAAAUUAGUACAUAAAAAUUAUUGAAUGAGCACAAAUUAAAUGAUAAAACGAUUAAAUUACUACAAACAUUAAAUCAUUAUCCUUUUAUCUAAACCCUAACCUCUUUCUUCCUCACUUUCAUUCUACGCUAAACCAUUUCUUCUUUAUUCACAAACCUCUAGAACGUUUACCUUCGCUCCGGUCUAAAUAAUGGUGUCCACAAACGCGCUCUCUUCCGCCUCCGUCCUCUGCUCCUCACGACAGGUGAAGGUUUUUUUUUUUAGAUCAGCCAUUUAUGUUCUCAUACUUUAUUUGUGAUUUGAAUUUUUAUUUCAUUCUAUAUCACUGCCCUUUUCUAUUCAGCUUCUUUAUUUUAUGUGGUUUUUUGGGUUUAUGUAAAAAUUGUUUCUUUCUCAAUUCAUCUUCUCUUUACCCCAUUGAUUGGUAAAAAAUGGUUACUUUCUAUGGGGAAAGAGAAAAAACUUGAUAGAAGAUGAAUCUGGUUGUAAUGGGCAUUGAUUCAUUCAUUUUCUUGUGGGUGUGCAGGAAAAGCUGAGUGGUGGAAACCAACAGAAAGGUCAAAGAGUAAGCUACAGGAAAGCAAGUAGAGGUUUUAGUGGUAGAGCAAGUAUAAAGGAGAUCUCUUUCGAUCAGAGCUCAAGACCUUCUCUUCAAGCUGGUAUUGAUAAGUUUGCUGAUGAUGUUGGUCUCACUCUUGGCCCUAGAGGUAUUCGUUACAAUCUCAAUGUCCGUUGUACCAAGUUGUGUCUCUCUUUUGUCUUAACCUUGUGGUCUUUUACAAGAGAGAAAUGUUGUGUUGGA